rnacentral:rRNA from 1 species
GAUGAACGCUAGCGGCAGGCUUAAUACAUGCAAGUCGAGGGGCAUCAAGGUACACGAAAGUGUAUUGUUGGCGACCGGCGGACGGGUGAGUAAUAGGUAGGUAACCUACCUCAUACUGAGGCAUAGCUGGGAGAAAUUCCAGGUAAUUCCUCAUGAGGUUAUAUGACACAUGUGAUAUAAUCAAAGGUAUCGCAAGGUACUGGUAUGAGAUGGGCUUACUGACCAUUAGCUAGUUGGUGAGAUAAGAGCUCACCAAGGCGAAGAUGGUUAGGGGUUUUGAGAGAGAGAUCCCCCACAUUGGAACUGAGAUACGGUCCAGACCCCUGCGGGAGGCAGCAGUGAGGAAUAUUGCACAAAUGGGAGAAAUCCUGAUGCAGCGACGCCGCGUGUGGGAAGAAGGAGCUUAGCUUCGUAAACCACUGUCGGAGGGGACGAAUGAUAGGUUAGACCUAUUGAGACGGUACCUCAAAGGAAGGAUCGGCUAA